UACGUGAAUGAAGCAAGAAAGGCUGAGC
rnacentral:piRNA from 1 species